rnacentral:rRNA from 1 species
GACGAACGCUGGCGGCGUGCUUAACACAUGCGAGUCGAACGGAAAGGCCCUGCUUUUGUGGGGUGCUCGAGUGGCGAACGGGUGAGUAACACGUGAGUAACCUGCCCUUGUCUUUGGGAUAACUUCAGGAAACUGGGGCUAAUACCGGAUAGGAGCUCCUGCUGCAUGGUGGGGGUUGGAAAGUUUCGGCGGUUGGGGAUGGACUCGCGGCUUAUCAGCUUCUUGGUGGGGUAGUGGCUUACCAAGGUUUUGACGGGUAGCCGGCCUGGGAGGGUGACCGGCCACAUUGGGACUGAGAUACGGCCCAGACUCCUACGGGAGGCAGCAGUGGGGAAUAUUGCACAAUGGGCGGAAGCCUGAUGCAGCAACGCCGCGUGCGGGAUGACGGCCUUCGGGUUGUAAACCGCUUUCGCCUGUGACGAAGCGUGAGUGACGGUAAUGGGUAAAGAAGCACCGGCUAACUACGUA